AGCCAGCAGCCGCGGUAAUACGUAGGGGGCGAGCGUUGUCCGAAGUUACUGGGCGUAAAGCGCGCGUAGGCGGCUCUUUAAGUGACUGGUGAAAUCCCCGGGCUCAACUCGGGUAGGUCUGGUCAUACUGGGGAGCUGGAGUGUGGGAGAGGUGAGUGGAACUCCUGGUGUAGCGGUGAUAUGCGUAGAGAUCAGGAAGAACACCCGUGGCGAAGGCGGCUCACUGGACCACAACUGACGCUGAGGCGCGAAAGCCAGGGGAGCGAACGGGAUUAGAUACCCCGGUAGUCCUGGCCCUAAACGAUGGAUACUAGGUGUGGCGGGUAUCGACCCCUGCCGCGCCGCAGCUAACGCAUUAAGUAUCCCGCCUGGGGAGUACGGCCGCAAGGUUGAAACUCAAAGGAAUUGACGGGGGCCCGCACAAGC
rnacentral:rRNA from 1 species